rnacentral:rRNA from 1 species
UACGGAGGAUCCGAGCGUUAUCCGGAUUUAUUGGGUUUAAAGGGUGCGCAGGCGGGGGAUUAAGUCGGCGGUGAAAUUUUGCAGCUCAACUGUAAAAGUGCCUUCGAAACUGGUUUCCUUGAGUGUAGAUGAAGUAGGCGGAAUUUGUGGUGUAGCGGUGAAAUGCAUAGAUAUCACGAGGAACUCCGAUUGCGCAGGCAGCUUACUAAACUACUACUGACGCUCAGGCACGAAGGCGUGGGGAUCAAACAGGAUUAGAUAUCCGU